rnacentral:rRNA from 1 species
UACGUAGGGUGCAGGCGUUAAUCGGAAUUACUGGGCGUAAAGCGCGUGCAGGCGGUCUAUUAAGACAGGUGUGAAAUCCCCGGGCUUAACCUGGGAACUGCGCUUGUAACUGAUAGGCUUGAGUGUGGCAGAGGGGGGUGGAAUUCCAGGUGUAGCAGUGAAAUGCGUAGAUAUCUGGAGGAACACCGAUGGCGAAGGCAGCCCCCUGGGCUAACACUGACGCUCAUGCACGAAAGCGUGGGGAGCAAACAGG